UGCUAAUAUUGCUGUAACAAAUGAAUUUCUGUUUUAUGACUUAAUUUAGUCCAUCCAUAGUUCAUCUUUUUGGUACUGUAGUAAGAUGUGUGAGGACUGGUGGGCUGGUUGGAUAAAAAAGUUAUCUGGGAAUCUGGAGAUCAUAUUGCAGCUGUUGUAGCAGUACCACCAGUCUGCUACAGGGAGCAAAAAUCUAAGAGUCACUUCAUAAAAAGAUGAUCAAAAACGCAGAAUAAUCUCUGUAUGAAUUUACAAUCACACUAAAAAUCAUGCCAUCAUAGAGAUUUUGUGAAUACAAUAAAAGUUAAAACAAGAAACAGAUCUGAAAAACAUGGAGCAGAGUUUGGAGAACUUUUCAGUUUGUGUUUUCUCCCUAAAAGAACUCAAUCAGUGUUGUUUUCAGCUUGUAUGAUUAAUUGACUGUUCUUGUUUUUUCACCUGUUUGUGAUUUCAGCAGACUGUAAAAUGAGCAGUAAUAACUGACCCUCACAAACAUUAUGGUACUUAAGCUCAGGCCAACUGAAGGCCAGUGGAUUUUUAAGUGAAACAGUAAUUCAACCCACCAAACAUGGGAAAAAAAGUGAGUCUCUGUAAAGUGAUUAUGUAUAAUGUGAAUUUGAUGCUAUUUGGAAAUCUGAACACAGGAAAUGAUGUUUACAGUCAGAAACACAAAACAUGAAUACUGAGGUCCAUGACUACUGUUGCAAAACGUUCAUCACUUCCUCUUCUAGCCAUCUUUGCAACAGCUCAGCAAUUCUUUGCCCCUAGUGGUUUGUGACAGCUUCAACACUUGUUUGACAGCUUCAGCAUCAGCGAGCUCACUUCUGUCAGAAAGGAUGCUUCAGUUCAUCACCUAAAAGGUCUCACCGUGCUGGGCAGAAGCUCUGGCAAAUGCCACAGCAUUAGUCCUGGAGCCUCCUGUUAGCUAGCCUGUCACAUCGCCAGCUGGUCUCUAAAAUUGAUCAGUUGCUUAAAUAAAGUUUUAAGGGUGAUGUAAAUUUGCACCUGCGCAGUGCAACAGUAACUACUAACUGCCGUAAAAUGCAUUGAAAUACGAGGAGAAGUGCGUACGUUUCACAUAUAUGCAGUACAAAUCAGGUUUCCAGACCACUAAUAGAGUAAAGACCAAGAGCCUUUUCUGUAGCUUCGUAACUGCGCCAUAUAGAAUCUGAAAAAACAGAGCCAGGUUUAUUGUUGGAGAAGCUCGGUCCCCGCUGAGCAACAAACGCUGCAGAGGCUCAUCGUGAACCCUCGUCCUGUCCUGUCACAGUCCAGCUGAGGUUUCCUGAGAGGUUGCAGGUUUCGUGAGGACUCUGGCAGCACAUGUGACCCUGAAGCAGACUCUUUAAUAAAUAAAAUACCUUCAGUGUUUCAGAUGUAUACUGGCUGCAGAGUUUCUCUCCUUCUCUCUCAGUUUAUGAGCAGAAAAAGGAAAUUCUGCUGGAGUGAAUCUGCCGAAAACAUCUGGAAAUCAUCAUCAUGCCAUCAUAAGUCAAACAACUGCACACAGCGCUUACUGAUGAGCUAUUUCCAUAUAAACUCAUUCCUGCUGGCUCCUUCCCUCUGUCGGCCCUAUUUUUAACAGUGAAACACUAUGAAUUGUGGGUUAUUCCCUGGAGCAAAGUGUGCAGGAGUGCAGACUUAAAGAAAGUGUUGGUAAGGAGCUGUGAGAGGAGCCCUCCUGUACUCUGUGUUUUACAGUGGGACACCGUUAAACCUUCUCAGAGCUGACAGCCUCCUGCUUCAAAGUCUGUGAUUCCUGAGGGGACGCCAGGAUCAGAGCAGAGUACGGCACAGUUUUUAGGCCACUUUUAUGUUCUUGAAAACACACUGAGACACUGAGUGCAUACUAUACUGACAGCCGGCUCUCACUCCAAACUCAUCCAACACAACAGCUUCUUCAGCAGCUCGAUAAAUCAGACACUCUGGGCCUGAUUCAUUGGAGGGUUGAGCCGAUUUGGCACCUGCUGAAGCUUUGCAAAUGAGACAAAAAGAUACUGUCCACAGCGGGACUGUUUGUGCAGAUUAAAAUGAGCCAUUAGCCAGAGGGGUGUCAAUCAAGAGGGAUGAGUCCAUCAAUCUCCACAUUUUGAACCAAUGAGGGGUGGAGGAGAGGAAUGAGUGGAGAAACAGGAGAAGAAGAACAGAGGUGAAACAAAACAGAUAAAGGAGAAAAGAAAAGCUAUUUUUGGCCCGCUUUAAACUGAGUGCUCUGUGCCAUAUAUGAACAAGCUGGAUGUUUAAGUGUUCAUCUGUUACCACGCUCUGUUUUGUAUGUGUUUGAGACUGUAUUCUGCCACAGAGCAGGUGUUAUUUACGUAAGCAGCAGGUAGCCUUACUAGCAUGGCAAAGAGACUAAGAUCCUCUUCCAGUGGAGGGUGUGGGUUGCAGAGACCAGUGCCGAGGACAUUAUUUCUCAAGGAGGUGUGUGUGGAUUUAGUGGUUGGAUUUCUGCCCAGAAGGCAUUGUUUUUAUCCAACUUAAAGGAGUACAGUUGACCUUCUUGUCUUUUUUUGAGCACUAACGCUGGCACCAACAACAAUGAAAUCCAGGGUGUCAUGUUGGCAUUGUUAGAUAUUAUCAAGAAGUUAAACUUCCUUUUCUUUUUAAAGGUUCAUUCAUAGAUGAACAGGAUGUUAAUGUAGAUAUUUUACUGUGUAUUAUAUUUGUUAUGUUCAUGGUGAAGAGGGGUUUGGGGUGUUUAAUACAUGCAUGGAAGUUCCUUUAAACAUAAACCCAAAGUUCCUUCCAUGAGCUUUAAGAACCAAACAGCAAUCAGACAAUCCCUGAAUCCUUUGACACUGUGCACCGACUUUUCAUUUUAGAUUAGUUAGAUAAAGCCCAAAGUCACCUGAUAUGACUUUGACAUAACUGCCAUUUAACUAGGGCUAUAAUCAACCAAAGAAAGUCUUGGGUGCUCUGAAAAAAACCCCAUUAGUCGACCAAUCAGAACUUUGGUCAACUCAGCAUGUAUCGAGCAAUAAGCCGACCAACUGGGACUUUACAGCCCUACAUUUAAAAGAUAACAAGCUGGGUGGUACCUCUGCUCCACGGAGUCAAGGACACAGCAUCCCUGAUUUCCGAAAAGAACAUGUGAUUUUGAUUGGUCAGACUGCAGAAACGUUUUUUCCUCCCUUCUUAAGGGGAUGCAGGUCCAGAGAAGUCUAAGGGUUACUGGAUCAUGUUUGUACCUAGUUUCCUCUUUAACCUGUAUUUUUGAAUGCAGUGAUGAACUGUGUUCACAGUCUGUGGUUUUUGACUGAAGCACAAAUACUGAAAUCAUUGCAAGUGAAUUUCUCUCAUUUUAGUUAACAUAUUUCAUUACACUUGCAAAAAAAUUAUAAAAAGAAAAGGGGUUAGUCCAAAACCAAAGCUAAAGUACUCCAUCAUUUUUUGCAAAAUUCGAUUUUUUUUUUUUUUUUUUUCUUUUGUGGCACUGGCAAAUAUUUUUACUCAUCACAAUUAAAUGACAGCCCUGUUAUUGGCUUGGUAUAUUUUAAAAUAUAAUUUGAGAAGAUUUGAAGGUUUUGCUUGUAAAUAUUCUUCUUCUAUUUUCAGACCAUUGUAUGAACAGAGGAGAGACUCCUGAGAAGACUUUUUAGAUAACUAAUAUGUUCCUCUGGAUCCUUAAAACAACUUUAUAAACCUGUAUGAGUUUCUUCUUUCCAUCUCACUGAGUGUAAGUUUUCCAAAGGCCAGGGUCAUGAUGUUAGCUCCUCAGCACAUACAUGUAUAAUCACUUACACACACACAGAUCAUAUGAUCAGAGGGAGACAGCUCAUAAAGAUCAGCUUACAGAAACACAAACUGCAGAUAUGAGAGAGUCCGUGGAUCUGGAGCGUAAUAACACGUUAGAGUUCCAGUAUGAUGUGGAUUAAAGCCAGACAUCUCUCUCUCUCUUUGCUACACACAUACACACACUCACACACACUGUAGCCAAUGCAUUUUCGCUUGAAGUGUUUGCGAUGUGAUCGUGCAGUAUGCAGGCUUAGAGUAUCGGAGAGAAGCCAAAGCCAACACUGCUGCUGGAAAGACUGGCCUCAGUCCAACACUCAGAGCACAGGACCGGGAUUAUCAUCCAUCAUACUCUCAUUUUAUCACACUGAUGUGAUCAUAUGGUGUUCAAACAAUGUUAAAGCUAUAUUUAUGACAUGAGAAAGGAUUAAUAAUCUACACAGUGGAUCCCAUGCUCUUUAAUGUAUGUUUUUAUCCUGCUUUCAUGAUGUUUUUAUCCCCUUUUUGAAAAGUUUUCAUUGACAGUAAAAGCACAGUGAGUUUGCGCAGUCUUCUUGUAGAAGCUCGUUUAUCUUCGUGUGACCAGAUUCCUGACCUUGACUUGCUGAUGAAGACCAGCAGGCUGUGGAUGAAGAAGUGCAGCACAACUUUUAUGGUGAGAUGUACUGCUGUGACUUGAUGAAAGCAGAGUUUGGAAGAUUUCUUUUAUUGGAAUCUGACGUUUCUACUGCAGCUAUUUGACACUUGGUUAAAAUAACAUUUUCACUGACACAUUAUAAAACAAACUCUCUAAAUAUCUGGGGAUGAAAAUGACAAGAAACAGGACCAGACUGCACCCAGUGGCCUGAUCAUCUCUGUGUUUGCUCUGUUUUCUUCCCCUCUCUCUCUCUGGUGCUGGUUUUCCCCCUCCCUCCAUCCCCAGACCAGUCGAGGUCAUGGCUCUCCUCUUUCCCUAAUCAGGAGAACUUUGGGAGCGCAGCAAACCCAGGAAUGUGAGCUAUGUGAGCAGGACAGCGUGCAUCCAUGCUGAAUUUCUCCAUGUGACUUUCGCAUGGAGGUCAAGAUGUUGUCUGCUCACUCUACAAUCCUCUACACAAGCUCUGGUGUCCGUCCCACACACACACACACACACACACACACACACACACACACACACACACACACACACACACACACACACACACACACAUAUAUUAACACGCUGACACACUGACAUGCACAGACAGAGCAUGUGAGUGGGGAUGGAGAGUGUGGAGGAGGUCAGGGUCAGUUCAGCUGCAGGAAGUGCUGUAGGGAGCAGCCAGAGAGGAGCCCCGCAAACACGAGGAGGAAAAAACAUCAGCUCUAUUCACACUGUGCUCUGGAAAUGUAUCGGUGUAUCUGGGUUAAGGCUGCAUGUGCUGCAAAAUACAGAAUAUUUCCCCCCGACUUUACCAGGACUUUAUCCUGCCAGCCAGGGAGAGUUUUGCAAAGAGUAGGGCCUGAGCCAGUGUGUGAACACUGUGGGUAAAAAUUUGGAAAGUCACUGUGAGUGAAUGAGGCGUUUAACUUUAAACCAUGCAAUUAUGAAACUGCAGGUUUUUAUCUUUUUUUCAAACCUUAAACAGCUAAAAGUCCUGCAUUUUAGUUUGGUAAAAAAAAAGACCAAAACAUCUGAUCAGUGCACUACAGGUAGAGGGCUAUGCAUGUGUUAGGUCUGAGAUACGCGCAAAAACAAACUCCUUCGUGAUGCAAAGUAAAGCAAUGGAAGAGCGCUAAAUAAAGCACACACAUGCAGCAUACGCUGUAAUAAUUUAAGCUCUGUAUGUGUGUUCCCCCACUUACAGAGAUCACCUUAAUUAAACAGAUUUCUGGUGUUUUGAAUCUAACUUACUUUACUGUUAUCACACUCAGCAGACCGCAAACACACUGGGUUACCAUUAGCUUUAGCAGAGUUCAUGUAUUAUUCACUGGAUUCCUCUAUAUGUUUGAAAUUAUCACGCAACAAGUGCCACGUGGAGAUAACCAACACAAUAAAAAGAGACUGAGAGCGUGAAGUUCACAAAGACAGAUUUUUAAAGACAGUAAUCUGCUCUAAUCUGUUAGUCAUUUUGUUUUCAAGUGUGUUUGUGUGAGCAGGUAUUUUGGCGUGUUGCUGUGUGCGGCUGCAGGGAGGCGGCGCUGAUUAGCUCUGACUGUGUUUGGGUUCAGACCAGAGGAGCACAAAC
rnacentral:lncRNA from 1 species